rnacentral:rRNA from 1 species
UACAGAGGGUGCAAGCGUUGUUCGGAAUUACUGGGCGUAAAGCGCGUGUAGGUGGCGAUGUAAGUCGGGUGUGAAAUCCCUCGGCUCAACCGAGGAAGUGCACUCGAUACUGUGUCGCUUGAGUGUUGGAGGGGAUGGCGGAAUUCCCGGUGUAGAGGUGAAAUUCGUAGAUAUCGGGAGGAACACCAGUGGCGAAGGCGGCGAUCUGGGAAGAUACUGACGCUGAGGUGCGAAAGCGUGGGGAGCAAACAGG